rnacentral:lncRNA from 1 species
UAAAAAUUACAAUUUUCAUGUUUAUAGUCUUUAGAUGGAGGAAUUUAUAAAAUGGCUCAUAAAUACGACCUUUUGCUUGUGAACACUGACCGAGAAGGCAAUAGAAAGCAAAUACCAUGGUAGUAUUAACUUCUUUAACUUUUUUCUUAUUCACAUAUUAUAUACUGUUGUUCUGAUUUUGGGCUUAAUGUUUCAGUAUUUUAUAUAUACAUAUAUAUAUAUAUAUAUAUAUAUAUAUAUAUAUAUAUAUAUAUAUAUAUAUAUAUAUAUAUAUAUAUAUAUAUAUAUAUAUAUAUAUAUAUAUAUAUAUAUAUAUAUAUAUAUAUAUAUAUAUAUAUAUAUAUAUAUAUGUUGAGUACAUACUGUAUGAGUAUUUUCUCUUUUUUUAAUUAAUAGUUUAUAGUCCGAAUGUGCCUCCACUGACAUUGGAGAUCUGGGACUCCCGACUGCCUUGUCCUCGAUAUGGGGCAGAUGGGAAUUGAGAGUCCCAGAUUGCAGUAAUAUGAUGCAGCUUGAUAAAUAUUACUGUCGUUCCAAUUGAAGUGUUGCUGAAAUAUUGAUUCAAUACAUUACCUCAGGACGAAUUCAUUUCAUCAAGUUCCUUGAGAUAUUCAUACACUUCCUAGUAUAAUUGUAAACUUCCUGUUGAAUAGUUUGAAUGCACCAAUCACCUUUGGUUGUUUGUGCAACUAACCAAUCAUAAAUAGAAAGGAAGUGACCAGAAAUGAUCAAAUACUUGGAAUUGGCUCUUUCACAGGAAGUGUAUGAAUAUCUCGAGGAACUUGAUCAAAUGAAUUGGUCAGCCCGAGGUAAUGUAUUGAAUCAAUAUUUCAGCAACACUUCAAUUGGAAGGACAGUAACCCAUUGAGCACCAGUGCUCUUUCCUUGUAAAAUCAUGUAGUGUUAUAGACAGAGUAAAUUAUUAUAAUAAAGUUGGGCACAUUGGGGUACAACACGGUUUCCAUUUGAUCGUUAGUUGUCGCUGGCACAACAAGCGGUUGAAAUAGUCUAAUAUAAUAAUAGUCUUUUUGUGUGUUAUGCAAAUCAGUCUUAAUGGUUUCAGAGUUUUUUGUUGACACUAUUACAUCAGCCACUUGUCGUGCCAGCGACAACUAACGACCAAAUGGAAACUAGGCUUAACUAGACACAUGGGCAGCUAGUCUGAUUAACCUAUAUGCAGCGCCAGCAUCCCUGUGCCCAAAAGUGCCCUACAUUAUUAUAUAAUUAUUGAUGUUGACAAAUGUACGAAAUGCUUGAUAACUUGGGAACGAGAUGAGCUAUAAAUAAAUUGUUAAGGCCAUGGCUUCAUUAUAAAUUUUCAAGAUACUUUCAAGUGAUUGAUACAUAAAAAUUAGGGAGAAAAUUUCAUAUCAUGUGCACUAAUUUAUGUUUCGUACUAACUGUUUUGUUCAUGUAAGGACUCUUUGAAUACCCUACUUAGUAAUUUUUAAUGAAGCUUUUAAUUUGAAGUCAAAGUGGUCACCUUCACUGAUUUGUCUAAUUUUAUAUAGUUUUGACUCCAUGUAGAUAAAGUCUGCAGACUUUAACACAGACAUUCCAACUCUCUCGAUUUUACCGGGAGUCUCCCGAACAUUCAUAUAAUCUCCUGGUCUCCCGAUUUUUAUCAAAUUCUCCCGAUUUUUCAGAAUAUUCGGGAAAUAUCGUAAACAAAUCAUAAUAGUCAUUUUAGCAACAUAAUAGUCUGUUUUGACCUUUUUAUGAAGUUAAUUUAUGACAAUUUAUAGGAUCACUUAUAACAACAUCUUCCCAAAAUGCAGGAAAUGCCAUUUCAGAAGACUUAAUUUUUAAAAUUUUUCACAGAAGAACAAGAUUUCAAUUCACUGAACAGUCUCCCUAAAUUUUACCUCGAGUAGUUGGAAUAUCUGUUAACAGGAUACUAAAUGUAGUAAAAUUAUCUUAACCUUUGUGCAUGAAGGUUAGGGACCGGUCAUUUAUUAGAGGGGGGGGGUGGUGCAAAUGGGGAGGGGGUCAUACCUUUUUGUGCACUUGAAAAUGGGGGGUUGCAUAAAAUUCUGCAACCAUUUUUGGGGGGUCAUACAUUUUUGUGCAUUCCAUUUUCCUAUAUAUUCUACAAAAGAAAACAGCACUGAAGGGAUCAACCACAGUCAAAUUUUUAAUAUUUAUAUGAAAACAAAACAAUGUUGUGGCAACUACAAGCAUAGGCGUACGAGACGGGGGGCAGCAGGGGGGGGCAGCUGCCCCCCCCCCAAAAGAUUACAAAGUCGAAAAGUCGGACAAAUGUUCAACAAAAGUCGGGCAAAAGUCAGGCAAACCAAGCUAGUUGAGCAAUAUUAUCUUCACAGUCGUGCAAUAUUGGGUUAUUAUAAAAAUAAAUGGGAUAAAUUCUGCGAAUUUUGCGGGAAAUAAUGUAAAUUUUGCAAUGUUUGGGAAAAUUUAUUUGAUGUUCCAAAAAAUUGAGGUGUGUCCGAAAAAUUUUUGGACCCCUAAAAUGGUACACUGACCGAAAUUUUUUUGGCGAAGCGGGGAGGGGGGGGGAGGUCGCCAAAAUUUAUUGUUCCAGAAAAAAAAUUAUAAAUAUUGUAACUGAGGGUGGGCCAUGCCAUUUCAUGUGCACUCCCUUGGGGGGCCACAUUAUUUUAUGCAGUGACAUGAGCAGGGCCAUAUGAAAUUAUGUAGAGGAAAAUGAAAAUCCACCAGCCCCCCUUCCCCCCCUCUAAUAAAUGACCGGUCCCUUAAGGCUAUUUUACUAAAUUUAGUAUCCUGUUUUUGAAGGUACAGAGAAAGACUAAAAACAAAAUAUGUCAACCCCAAAAAGUCAAAACAAUGUUCAGGCACAAUGGUUGGGUCAUCAUGGACAUUUAUAGAGAAAGGUUUAGAUGAUUUUCGAGAUGGUGUACCACCUGAUAUCGCCGCUGACAAGAUGGUCUUAAAAG